rnacentral:rRNA from 1 species
GCGACAGGCUUAACACAUGCAAGUCGAGGGGCAGCAUGAUUUGUAGCAAUACAGAUUGAUGGCGACCGGCGCACGGGUGAGUAACGCGUAUGCAACUUACCUAUCAGAGGGGGAUAGCCCGGCGAAAGUCGGAUUAAUACCCCAUAAAACAGGGGUCCCGCAUGGGAAUAUUUGUUAAAGAUUCAUCGCUGAUAGAUAGGCAUGCGUUCCAUUAGGCAGUUGGCGGGGUAACGGCCCACCAAACCGACGAUGGAUAGGGGUUCUGAGAGGAAGGUCCCCCACAUUGGUACUGAGACACGGACCAAACUCCUACGGGAGGCAGCAGUGAGGAAUAUUGGUCAAUGGCCGAGAGGCUGAACCAGCCAAGUCGCGUGAAGGAAGAAGGAUCUAUGGUUUGUAAACUUCUUUUAUAGGGGAAUAAAGUGGAGGACGUGUCCUUUUUUGUAUGUACCCUAUGAAUAAGCAUCGGCUAACUCCGUGCCAGCAGCCGCGGUAAUACGGAGGAUGCGAGCGUUAUCCGGGUUUAUUGGGUUUAAAGGGUGCGUAGGUGGUGAUUUAGGUCAGCGGUGAAAGUUUGUGGCUCAACCAUAAAAUUGCCGUUGAAACUGGGUUACUUGAGUGUGUUUGAGGUAGGCGGAAUGCGUGGUGUAGCGGUGAAAUGCAUAGAUAUCACGCAGAACUCCGAUUGCGAAGGCAGCUUACUAAACCAUAACUGACACUGAAGCACGAAAGCGUGGGGAUCAAACAGGCUUAGAUACCCUGGUAGUCCACGCAGUAAGC